rnacentral:rRNA from 1 species
UACGGGGGGGGCAAGCGUUGUUCGGAAUUACUGGGCGUAAAGGGCUCGUAGGCGGCCAACUAAGUCAGACGUGAAGUCCCUCGGCUUAACCGGGGAACUGCGUCUGAUACUGGAUGGCUAGAGGUUGGGAGAGGGAUGCGGAAUUCCAGGUGUAGCGGUGAAAUGCGUAGAUAUCUGGAGGAACACCGGUGGCGAAGGCGGCAUCCUGGACCAAUUCUGACGCUGAGGAGCGAAAGCCAGGGGAGCAAACGGG